rnacentral:rRNA from 1 species
GAUGAACGCUGGCGGCGUGCCUAAUACAUGCAAGUCGAGCGAAUGGAUUAAGAGCUUGCUCUUAUGAAGUUAGCGGCGGACGGGUGAGUAACACGUGGGUAACCUGCCCAUAAGACUGGGAUAACUCUGGGAAACCGUGGCCAAUACCGGAUAACAUUUUGAACCGCAUGGUUCGAAAGUGAAAGGCGGCUUCGGCUGUCACUUAUGCAUGGACCCGCGUCGCAUUAGCUAGUUGGUGAGGUAACGGCUCACCAAGGCAACGAUGCGUAGCCGACCUGAGAGGGUGAUCGGCCACACUGGGACUGAGACACGGCCCAGACUCCUACGGGAGGCAGCAGUAGGGAAUCUUCCGCAAUGGACGAAAGUCUGACGGAGCAACGCCGCGUGAGUGAUGAAGGCUUUCGGGUCGUAAAACUCUGUUGUUAGGGAAGAACAAGUGCUAGUUGAAUAAGCUGGCACCUUGACGGUACCUAACCAGAAAGCCACGGCUAACUACGUGCCAGCCGCCGCGGUAA